CUGCGCUGCGGCCGCUUUGAACUGGCGUACCAGGGAGAAACCCGCUUUAGGCUGGAGUCUUGUUGCAGUUCCUCCUGGGAAGCGGAAGGAAAACCCCACUUGCCUUUGAGACUUGGGCCUCGGUGGGUCGGUGGGUUGGUGGGUCGGCGUGGGGGCUGGCGAGGGAGGAGACAAGGGGCAAGGGAGGAGGGACGGUUGGCUCUGGGGCUGGUCUCCCUCACGGCUACUCUUCCGCAGAGGAUGACGCAGGGCUUUCGUCAUCUGACAUCGGGGCAAACUGAAACAAGAAGCAGAAUUCUUUUUGUUUGGCAUCACUGCCAAUGCCUACGUGGCGCCAACCUUGUUGGCUGGCCCUGUGGCUGAGGUUUCUUUCCAGCUGCUACUGUCCCCUGGCUACACAGUGAUUUGCAUAUUUUGUAUCUUGCUACGAUGCCUGCUCUGUGGGGGCAGAAGCCAUUUCCUGUUUGGUUCAGCGCUGUGAGUACCAGGGCCUAUCAUGCAGUGGGUGCUCUGUAAAUAUUUCUCAAAUGAGUGGAUGGUAAUUAAGAGCAUGCAUUUGGAACCACAGAUCCAGGUCCAAAUGCUAUUAUGUAGUCUCAGCUGUCCGUGCCUCAUUUCCUCAUGGGGGCACCGGGAAGGUUCAAUAAGCAUGGGCUGCACACAGCACCAGCCCAGAGUCCCCACCGCCCACCCUGCCAGGGUUGACACUCACAGAGCACUUGAUGUUCAUGCGAGAGUACAGCAUGGAUGCGAUUUCACUCUGCCCGGCGUCCAAGGCCACCAUCAAAGCUGUGCUCCCGUCCUGUAAGGCAUCCACUGCUAUGACGAGGCCCCGAGCUGGGCUCCCGCCCUCCCCGGGGUGCACCUGGGGGGGGACUCACGCGAUCAGUGAGCGAGAUGUCGCAGCUGGGCACAGCCAGCAGGAGCCCUGUGAUCUCCUUGUGGCCGUGCUCACAGGCGCACAUGAGGGCCGUGGAGCCGUCAUCAUCCUGCACGUUGACAUCUGCUUCACAGGCCAGCAGAGCUUUGACCACAUCCACCCGUCCGUGGCUGACCGCCAGCAUCAGGGCUGUCUGUCCCGCCUGGGCAGGGCAAGGAAAAGGUUUAUGGACCAUGCAGGCCCCAAGGCAUGACACCCUUGCUCUGGAACCUUCCGUGGUUCCCAAGUACUGUGAUAUUAACAGUAUCCCCACUUGCUGGCCUUCUAGAUCUCAAACAAUUCCUCCCACCACCGGGCCUUUGCACCUGCUGGUUCCUUCUCUUCCUGCUGUCCCCUCAUCCCUCACGUUUUGGCUUAAACAUUUCCUCUUUGGAGAGGUGUUACUUGCCUACCCACUCCCAUCCCCAACUAAAGCUGAUUCCUAGCUCCCAGAUGUAAAUAUAGAUGUAAAAACUUAUUGAUCUAAGAUUUGUAUACUUUUCUGUAUGUCAGUUGAACCUCAAUAAAAAUUAAAUCAACGUUCA